UGGGGAAUAUUGCACAAUGGGCGCAAGCCUGAUGCAGCCAUGCCGCGUGUGUGAAGAAGGCCUUCGGGUUGUAAAGCACUUUCAGCGAGGAGGAAGGUGGUGAACUUAAUACGUUCAUCAAUUGACGUUACUCGCAGAAGAAGCACCGGCUAACUCCGUGCCAGCAGCCGCGGUAAUACGGAGGGUGCAAGCGUUAAUCGGAAUUACUGGGCGUAAAGCGCACGCAGGCGGUUUGUUAAGUCAGAUGUGAAAUCCCCGGGCUCAACCUGGGAACUGCAUUUGAAACUGGCAAGCUAGAGUCUCGUAGAGGGGGGUAGAAUUCCAGGUGUAGCGGUGAAAUGCGUAGAGAUCUGGAGGAAUACCGGUGGCGAAGGCGGCCCCCCUGGACGAAGACUGACGCUCAGGUGCGAAAGCGUGGGGAGCAAACAGGACUAGAUACCCUGGUAGUCCACGCUGUAAAACGAUGUCGAUUUUGGAGGUUGUGCCCCUUGAGGCGUGGNUUCCGGAGCUAACGNGUUAAAUCGACCGCCNGGGGAGUACGGCCNCAAGGUUAAAACU
rnacentral:rRNA from 1 species